GACAGAGGAUGCAAGCGUUAUCCGGAAUUAUUGGGCGUAAAGAGCUCGUAGGCGGUUUGUCGCGUCUGCUGUGAAAACUCGGGGCUUAACCCCGGGCCUGCAGUGGGUACGGGCAGACUAGAGUGCGGUAGGGGAGACUGGAAUUCCUGGUGUAGCGGUGAAAUGCGCAGAUAUCAGGAGGAACACCGGUGGCGAAGGCGGGUCUCUGGGCCGUAACUGACGCUGAGGAGCGAAAGCGUGGGGAGCGAACAGG
rnacentral:rRNA from 1 species